CCCUUAGAUGUUCUGGGCCGCACGCGCGCUACACUGAUUCAUGCAACAAGUUUUGUCCUUGGCUGAUAGGCCUGGGUAAUCUUUGAACGUGAAUCGUGAUGGGGAUAGAUGAUUGCAAUUAUUCAUCUUCAACGAGGAAUUCCUAGUAAACGCAAGUCAUCAGCUUGCAUUGAUUACGUCCCUGCCCUUUGUACACACCGCCCGUCGCACCUACCGAUUGAAUGGUCCGGUGAAAUCUCCGGACUGGCGUGAGUCGGAGCAAUCUGACAAACACCGGAAAGUUGAUUAAACCUUACCAUUUAGAGGAAGGUGAAGUCGUANCA
rnacentral:rRNA from 1 species